UCUGGUGAAUAUUUUACAACUAAUGAACUGGGUUUAAAGUACAAGUAGAGAACUAAACUAGGUAAGUUUUGAAAAAAAGGAAACGUGAAUCUUACCUAAUCUAAAUAAGGUACCUAAUCAAACAUAAUCAAACUACAAGGUAAUACAAAAUAUUUCCUAAACUUUCGAGAUUUCUACAACAACAUAUAUAACUCUGAGAACAAAAACAAUUCUAUCUUGACAGGGAAAAUGUAUUUAGCCACAGGAUAAGUUUGCUGUCUAACUCAUUUUGGAUAGACUUUAUAUAAGAAAUGCUCAUGUCUUAUUAUAUGAGGCAAGGAAGAACAGAUACGGGUUAGUUGAGACGGAAAAUUAUUUCAUCCUUCUAUACUUUGCUUGUAGCUCAAUAUUUGUCAUCUUUAGCAAGAGAUGCUAUCUCUCUACUGGAAAAGAUGGUGAGAAAAUUGACAUAAGCAGCAAAUUGUAUCCAGAUAGAAAAGGAAAUAGAAUUCGAAACCAAAACUCGGCAUUGGAGGUGGCAGAAAUCCUUGCUGAUGGUUGAAGAAAUAAAGCAAAAAUAAAUUUAAGGCCAAAAGUUUGUCUUAGCCAAAUGAAGAUAAAAACCAUCAGCUUAACAUCAUUGCAUCAAAGCUUCAACACUAGCAUUCAACGGCCUUCUAAGGAUAUCCAGAUUAUUGAGAAUGUUUCAGAACCAAUGGUAGGCUGGUCUGGAGAUGCGUUAGAUAACUUCCAACUCUUGACCGAGUGAAACAGACUGAGAAAAGAUUAAAUCGAAGUUUCUUAGAGCAAAAUAGUAGCAAAACAAAAAGAGGAAGUCAUGUCUCAGCACACCAACACUGUUUCAAAGCUUGGAAAACAAAAUUCAACCUCAGUCUUACAAAAGUAUCAAAAAUUGCAGCCGCAAUAUUAGGCUGAUCUAAAGCGUGCAUUAACAUGUGGAUGAUAUGAUAUACCAGAACAAUUAUGAUCACUCAGCAUUAAGCCACUAAAACAUUUACCAGGUCAUAAUGGAAAUGAACCAAAGAGAAAAAAUGAAGAAAGAAACAUGAUAAAAAAACAUAAUAUAUCAGAGAGAGAAAGAGAGAGAGAGCAGCUUACUACUAUAGCAAAAUUUACGCCCAAGGUGUUAGGUGUCUAUACCACCUGAGAAAAUGUUUUGAAACUUGUAUUCUCUGAUAAUAUAUACAGAAGGAGACCCCCAAAAAGAAUCAAAAUUACAAGCCUGCCAGAACUUUAGUAAGAGACAAUAAAUCACACUUCUCACAUUUUGAAAGAUAAACAUUGUUAACAUUCAACUGCCUCCCCUUUGGGAAAAAAAAGAGCAGGUGCCUUGAAUAAUAGAGAAAUUUUAGCCAGUGACAUCCCAAUAAUCAAGAAAGUCAUUUUUUUGAACUUGCAAAUACAAUAAACUUCCUUGAUCCUAUCCUUUCUGCACACGCUUCAGAGUUUUCAUGGCUAUCCCACUACCGUCAUCUCUGGUGGACAACGUAUCAAAG
rnacentral:lncRNA from 1 species